AAACAUAAGAGUUUGAUCCUGGCUCAGGACGAACGCUGGCGGCGUGCCUAACACAUGCAAGUCGAGCGGAGAUGCCAAGGAGCAAUCCAAGGUGUCUUAGCGGCGGACGGGUGAGUAACACGUGGGUAACCUACCCCAAGGAGGGGGAUAACAGGUCGAAAGACCUGCUAAUACCGCAUAAAGCUUGUGUGUCGCAUGAUACAUAAGCCAAAGGAGGAAUCCGCCUUGGGAUGGGCCCGCGGCCCAUUAGCUAGUUGGUGAGGUAACGGCUCACCAAGGCGACGAUGGGUAGCCGGCCUGAGAGGGUGGUCGGCCACACUGGGACUGAGACACGGCCCAGACUCCUACGGGAGGCAGCAGUGGGGAAUAUUGCGCAAUGGGGGAAACCCUGACGCAGCGACGCCGCGUGAGCGAAGAAGGCC
rnacentral:ncRNA from 1 species